CCGGUCCUCUCAGCAAAGAAACUCCUUGACAAGGAAAGCUCGGUACCAAGACAGUCGUCAGAUUUUGGGUUUCCAAUUUUCUUAAUCUCUCAACAAUGGCGCUCGAGUGGGUUGUGCUAGGCUACGCUGCUGGCGCAGAGGCGAUCAUGGUCCUCUUCCUCACCAUCCUGGGCCUCCAUGGACUCCGCCGGGAAUGGUUGCAGUUACUCGUAAUCUCCUCAAGCCAUUCCUGUUGGUGGUGCCGUUCUGCCUGUUCCUCCUUAUGGAUAUUUACUGGAAGUAUGAGACGCGUCCGAGCUGCGGGGGCGAUUCCUGUACCACUUCCGAGCACCUCAGCCAGCAGAAGUCCAUCAUGAAGAGCCAG
rnacentral:misc_RNA from 1 species